AACGAACGCUGGCGGCGUGCCUAACACAUGCAAGUCGAGGGAGAAAGGGAGCUUCGGCUCCCGAGUAAACCGGCGCACGGGUGAGUAAUACGUAGGUAACGUACCUUCGAGUCUGGGAUAACCAGUCGAAAGACUGGCUAAUACCGGAUACGACCGAGGGGGCUUCGGCUCUCACGGUGAAAGAUGGCCUCUGCUUGCACGCUAUCACUCGAGGAGCGGCCUGCGCACCAUUAGCUAGUUGGUGAGGUAACGGCUCACCAAGGCUGAGAUGGUUAGCUGGUCUGAGAGGAUGGCCAGCCACACUGGGACUGAGACACGGCCCAGACUCCUACGGGAGGCAGCAGUGGGGAAUAUUGCGCAAUGGGCGAAAGCCUGACGCAGCGACGCC
rnacentral:rRNA from 1 species